GUGGUCUAUAUAGGUUACACACAAUACUGAUUGUGUUUGUUUACAGAUGGUCUUCACUUUCUCUCCAACAUGCCAGUUGCGUCGGCUGUGGGAUCCCUGGUGGGAUCAGUACAAUCAACGGAGCAGUUAAGUUAGUGUUUUAAUAAAGGGCCAGUCAAGAAACAAAUGAAGUUCUCUAUAAAGUCAGAUGAACUUCAGUACUGGCGGAUACAAUAUUUUAAGGGAGAGGUGAAAAAACAGGAACGGGAGAAACAACUACUUGAUAUAAAAAUACGCAUGCUGCUAGCAGAUGAAUAGAGACGUGACAAGAAAGUUGUUGAUGAUUUCAUCAAUUGCACAUAUUUCGAGGACUAAUUAUCAUGGUGACAUUGAGUUAGUUGCCUCAAAGAGAAACCAUUUAACUACAUGUAAAUGAGCAA